rnacentral:misc_RNA from 1 species
AACGCACAUUGCACCUUCUAGUAUUCUAGAGGGUAUGCCUGUUCGAGCGUCAUUGCAACAAUCAAGCACUGCUUGGUAUUGGAUGUCACUUCUGUGGUGCAUCUCAAAAGUAUCGGCAGUAGCAUCUAGCUUCUAGUGUAGUAAAUUUCUUGCUACGGAGUUGGGUGUUUGACUGACAGAACCCCUAAUAUUUUAUAAAGUUGACCUCGGAUCAGGUAGGGAUACCUGCUGAACUUAA